GACGAACGCUGGCGGCGUGCCUAAUACAUGCAAGUAGAACGCUGAAGAGAGGAGCUUGCUCUUCUUGGAUGAGUUGCGAACGGGUGAGUAACGCGUAGGUAACCUGCCUUGUAGCGGGGGAUAACUAUUGGAAACGAUAGCUAAUACCGCAUAACAAUGGAUGACACAUGUCAUUUAUUUGAAAGGGGCAAUUGCUCCACUACAAGAUGGACCUGCGUUGUAUUAGCUAGUAGGUGAGGUAAUGGCUCACCUAGGCGACGAUACAUAGCCGACCUGAGAGGGUGAUCGGCCACACUGGGACUGAGACACGGCCCAGACUCCUACGGGAGGCAGCAGUAGGGAAUCUUCGGCAAUGGGGGCAACCCUGACCGAGCAACGCCGCGUGAGUGAAGAAGGUUUUCGGAUCGUAAAGCUCUGUUGUAAGUCAAGAACGGGUGUGAGAGUGGAAAGUUCACACUGUGACGGUAGCUUACCAGAAAGGGACGGCUAACUACGUGCCAGCAGCCGCGGUAAUACGUAGGUCCCGAGCGUUGUCCGGAUUUAUUGGGCGUAAAGCGAGCGCAGGCGGUUUGAUAAGUCUGAAGUUAAAGGCUGUGGCUCAACCAUAGUUCGCUUUGGAAACUGUCAAACUUGAGUGCAGAAGGGGAGAGUGGAAUUCCAUGUGUAGCGGUGAAAUGCGUAGAUAUAUGGAGGAACACCGGUGGCGAAAGCGGCUCUCUGGUCUGUAACUGACGCUGAGGCUCGAAAGCGUGGGGAGCGAACAGGAUUAGAUACCCUGGUAGUCCACGCCGUAAACGAUGAGUGCUAGGUGUUGGAUCCUUUCCGGGAUUCAGUGCCGCAGCUAACGCAUUAAGCACUCCGCCUGGGGAGUACGACCGCAAGGUUGAAACUCAAAGGAAUUGACGGGGGCCCGCACAAGCGGUGGAGCAUGUGGUUUAAUUCGAAGCAACGCGAAGAACCUUACCAGGUCUUGACAUCCCGAUGCUAUUUCUAGAGAUAGAAAGUUACUUCGGUACAUCGGUGACAGGUGGUGCAUGGUUGUCGUCAGCUCGUGUCGUGAGAUGUUGGGUUAAGUCCCGCAACGAGCGCAACCCCUAUUGUUAGUUGCCAUCAUUCAGUUGGGCACUCUAGCGAGACUGCCGGUAAUAAACCGGAGGAAGGUGGGGAUGACGUCAAAUCAUCAUGCCCCUUAUGACCUGGGCUACACACGUGCUACAAUGGUUGGUACAACGAGUUGCGAGUCGGUGACGGCGAGCUAAUCUCUUAAAGCCAAUCUCAGUUCGGAUUGUAGGCUGCAGCUCGCCUACAUGAAGUCGGAAUCGCUAGUAAUCGCGGAUCAGCACGCCGCGGUGAAUACGUUCCCGGGCCUUGUACACACCGCCCGUCACACCACGAGAGUUUGUAACACCCGAAGUCGGUGAGGUAACCUUUUGGAGCCAGCCGCCUAAGGUGGGACAGAUGAUUGGGGUGAA
rnacentral:rRNA from 1 species